rnacentral:rRNA from 1 species
AGAGUUUGAUCAUGGCUCAGAGCGAACGCUGGCGGCAGGCUUAACACAUGCAAGUCGAACGGGCUUCUUCGGAAGUCAGUGGCAGACGGGUGAGCAACACGUGGGAACGUGCCCUUCGGUUCGGAAUAACUCAGGGAAACUUGAGCUAAUACCGGAUACGCCCUUAUGGGGAAAGGUUUACUGCCGAAGGAUCGGCCCGCGUCUGAUUAGCUUGUUGGUGGGGUAACGGCCUACCAAGGCGACGAUCAGUAGCUGGUCUGAGAGGAUGAUCAGCCACACUGGGACUGAGACACGGCCCAGACUCCUACGGGAGGCAGCAGUGGGGAAUAUUGGACAAUGGGCGCAAGCCUGAUCCAGCCAUGCCGCGUGAGUGAUGAAGGCCUUAGGGUUGUAAAGCUCUUUUGUCCGGGACGAUAAUGACGGUACCGGAAGAAUAAGCCCCGGCUAACUUCGUGCCAGCAGCCGCGGUAAU